rnacentral:ncRNA from 1 species
CACAUGGUUCCCGUGUUCGCACGGGCCAAGAGGGAAUCCGGUGAGAAUCCGGAGCUGCCCCGCAGCGGUGUACGAGAACGACCGCCGUCAUCAUGCACUGUGCUUCGGCAUGGGAAGCGACGGCCAGUAGGCAACAAGUGCUCGUGAGUCCGAAGACCUGCCAGGUGUG